rnacentral:rRNA from 1 species
GACGAACGCUGGCGGCGUGCCUAAUACAUGCAAGUCGAACGCUUCUUUCCUCCCGAGUGCUUGCACUCAAUUGGAAAGAGGAGUGGCGGACGGGUGAGUACCACGUGGGUAACUUACCCAUCAGAGGGGGAUAACACUUGGAAACAGGUGCUAAUACCGCAUAACAGUUUAUGCCGCAUGGCAUAGGAGUGAAAGGCGCUUUCGGGUGCCGCUGAGGGAUGGACCCGCGGUGCAUUAGCUAGUUGGUGAGGUAACGGCUCACCAAGGCCACGAUGCAUAGCCGACCUGAGAGGGUGAUCGGCCACACUGGGACUGAGACACGGCCCAGACUCCUACGGGAGGCAGCAGUAGGGAAUCUUCGGCAAUGGACGAAAGUCUGACCGAGCAACGCCGCGUGAGUGAAGAAGGUUUUCGGAUCGUAAAACUCUGUUGUUAGAGAAGAACAAGGACGUUAGUAACUGAACGUCCCCUGACGGUAUCUAACCAGAAAGCCACGGCUAACUACGUG